rnacentral:rRNA from 1 species
CCUACGGGGGGCAGCAGUGAGGAAUAUUGGUCAAUGGACGAGAGUCUGAACCAGCCAAGUAGCGUGAAGGAUGACUGCCCUAUGGGUUGUAAACUUCUUUUAUAAAGGAAUAAAACGAGGCACGUGUGCAUUUUUGCAUGUACUUUAUGAAUAAGGAUCGGCUAACUCCGUGCCAGAAGCCGCGGUAAUACGGAGGAACCGAGAGUUAUCCGGAUUUAUGGGGGUUCAAGGGAGCGUAGAUGGGUUGUUAAGUCAGUUGUGAAAGUUUGCGGCUCAACCGUAAAAUUGCAAUUGAUACUGGCAGUCUUGAGUACAGUUGAGGUAGUCGGAAUUCGUGGUGUAGCUGUGACAUGCUUAGAUAUCACGAAGACCCCCGAUUGCGAAGGCAGCUUACUAAACUGUGACUGACAUUGAUGCUCGAAAGUGUGGGUAUCAAACAGGAUUAGAUACCCGGGUAGUC